rnacentral:tRNA from 1 species
GUCGAUCUGGUCCAACGGUUAGGGCACCCUGCUACUCUGGGGGGAUGCUUGGUUCAAUUCCAGCGGUCGACA